rnacentral:pre_miRNA from 1 species
AAGGAGCUCACAGUCUAUUGAGUUGCCUUUCUGAUUCUCCCACUAGAUUGUGAGCUGCUGGA